ensembl:lncRNA
CUGUUUUGCACUUGCUUCUGCUUUUGUGGAACGAGAGCGGGUUUUUCCCUAGGGAAUGUAUUUUCCGGCAGGGUAGCAGCAAACUGAAGAAAUCCAUUCUGCAUAUCCACCUAUCCCCACAUGAAAAACCAAUUCCAGUGUGGGACCCACAUUGCAAGUGGCUUGCACAAUCCAUCUAUUCUUAUCGGAGGAAACUUCAGCAAGAUGAGUUGCAGAAGUAACAACUAUCUGCAGAAGCAACAAAUAACUCUAAGCAACUGUAAUGGCUAAGAUUUCUCAGACUCAGUAGGUCUUAUGAGGUCUGAUUCCAAGUAAACAUUGGGAAAAAUCCUCUCUGGCAAGGAGGAGGAGAAAGCUGAAUCACUUGGUUCUGCUGUCCUUAUCCAGGCAAUGGUCAGACCCAGAGGAAGCACAGCAGCAGCUCCCAGGGGUGCCUUGUUCUGCUUCUGCACGUUGUGCCGUGAAACACAAAGACACAGCUGGCAGGAUGCUGCCCUGUACGCAUAUCCAGUGCUUGUUCUGACAGCAGAUUUCUGAUAUAAAUCUAUGGCAGUGGUUGCAGAUGAAUUAAAGACAGACAAAAUGCCACACACUGUGCUGUCCAGAAAGAGCAACUCUUAAAAGCUGGGUGGACUUUGGAGCUUGGCUGGACAGGAGGUCAGAACACGAACUGUGAGUAACAGUGCUUCGGAAGAUGGACUGAAAGAUUCUUGCACUACUAAUGAAUUUCCAGGAAAACUGACUGUAAACUGCUAUCAGGAGUGUCGGUAAUGAAGCAGAGAGGAUCAGGAGGCAGAGGAUGGAGUCCAGGACAAACUGCUCAGGGUGUCCCUGCUUGAGCAGGGACUGGAUCUCCAGAGGGCCCUUCCAACCUCAUCUGUUCUGUGAUCCCGUGAUAAGAGAAUGAACCCAGCCUUGCUGGGAUUGGUUUUGUCCACAGCAAUGGACCUGCCUGGGCUUUGCCCAGGGGAAGAUCGUGCUCGGUGUGCCCUUCUCACUUCAUGUUCAGUCAUGUGGCUGUGCGGGUCCUCUCUGUGCAGGCAUAGGCAGGACAGGCAGCAUGGGUUUGCGUCACCGAAGGUGCAGGCUUAGGCUCAGCUGGCAUCCCUGGAGCCAGGUGGGUGGGAGGGACCAGGGCAGGGUGCUAGGAACUUAGGUUGGGGUAGAGCUGCUGAGAUGCAAAAAUGUGGAGAUUCCGAGAUGUGUGGUGGUGAUGUUGAUAUGCAGUGAUACAGAGGUGCAGAGACAUGAAGAUGUAGAGGUCCUGCCCUGGAGCUGGGAGAGGAGAUGUGAUAAAGUCUCAUCCACUUCUGUUCCUUCAGAUUUGGGGUUUUAACAAUGCAUGAUGCAGGAGAGUGCUGCAUACAGUUAUUACUCAUAAACUCUGUCCAACUCAUGGGUAAACGAAGACCUAAAUAGUAAGUUUGCCCUUAGCCCUUAAUAAGGAGCGAGUUAAGUCCCAUUUGGAUCAAUGAUUUCAAGUGAAAAUUCAAUAACAAAAUGCUUUUGACAUAUUUGCCAGCUCUGUAGUUUGCAGAUGUUAUCUGCUGCCACUGCAGUUUAUCUUCUGACAACAAGGGCAGAGUUGAUAGGCGUGAUCUCCAGGAAGGGACACCUCCAGGAGGGGCAGAUGGCCACUGAGGCAGGCCUCUGGGAUGGCCCGGUCACACAGCCAGCUCCAGAAAGCCCAGGGACUUGCAGGAGAGGGCAGGGAUUCAUCCACUCCUGUCAGCUCCACCCCAUUUUGCCUUUCAGGCUGAGGACCUGAGCAUUAAGACUGCAGCUACACUGAUAGAACGCGAGGUUGAAUACAAAGGCUUUCUCUGCUGGGGGAGAUAUUACACAGAACUAGAAGGCUUUUGAUCACAGUUUGGUCCAUACAUCCCCAUUAGCUUGUGAGUUCUGAGCCCUUCCUAAGCUGGAAGCUCUUUUCUGGUGGAGACCAGCUCACUCUAUGAAAGCUGCUUUGCAAAUUUUCCAGUGUUUUGUUCCUUUUUGCAUGUUUUGAAGCAGGAGAGCUCCACCAGAGAUGCUCCUCCAUGUUAUUGUUUCCUUUCCCUGCUGCUGACAGUGAUUCAGAUCAACCGAGGUCAGAAAAACCACACAAGAAUGUAGAUUUUGAAACGUCAUGGUUGGUAAUUCAAUAAAAGUUGCACGGAUAUUAGACAAUUUCCUGUGAUUAAUACCACACUGUAAGCUUUAUUCAUGAGCAUUUCAACCAAGGAAUGUAUUUCCUAAAUCUCCCUGCUUUUAGUCCCUUGUCCUAUCCCCAUCUGAACGUGUAAAAAGUCAGACUCCCUCCUCUAUAUUAGCUUCCUUCAAACACUGGAAGGCCGCAGUGAGGUCUCCCCAGAGCCUUCUCUUCUCCAGACCAAACAAGUCAAUUUCCCCAUUGGCCUUUCUUCCUUUUUCCUCCUCCUUUGCCAAGGAAGCUGAUUUUGCUGGUGUUUUCAUUUCAUGAAUAG